ensembl:lncRNA
CUCCCAAAAGAUCUCCAUGUGCUAAUCCCUGGAACCUGUGAAUGAUACUUAUAUGAUUAAAAAAAGGAGGAGUUCUUUCAGAUGUAGUUAUGGAUUUUGAGAUGGGGAGAUUAUUAUGGACUAGGUGGUUAGUCAAUGGCACCCCACUCUAGUACUCUUGCCUGGAAAAUCCCAUGGAUGGAGGAGCCUGGUAGGCUGCAGUCUAUGGGGUCGCUAAGAGUCGGACACGACUGAGCGACUUCACUUUCACUUUUCACUUUCAUGCAUUGGAGAAGGAAAUGGCAACCCACUCCAGUGUUCUUGCCUGGAGAAUCCCAGGGACAGUGGAGCCUGUUGGGCUGCCGGUCUAUGGGGUCGCACAGAGUCGGACACAACUGAAGCGACUUAGCAGCAGCAGCAGGUGGUUAGUACUAAAUGCAAUCAUGUAUAUCCUUCUAACAGGGAGGUGAAGGAGAUUUGCACACACACAGAAAAUGUUCCGAGAAGGUGGUGAGAAGAUGAAGCAGAGAUUUGAAGAUGCUGACUUUGAAGACUUGAGUGAUACAGUCACUAGCUGCAGGAUGUUGGCACCACCAGAAGCUGAAGGAGGCAUGGACCAGCUUCUUUCCUAUAGUCUCUGAAGAUGCUGUAGCCCUGCUAAUACCUUGAUCUUGGUUCAGUGAUACUGACUUCAGACUCCUGGCCUCCAGGACUGCGAGAGAAUACAAGUCUACUGUUUUAAGUCACCACAUUUGCAGUAAUAGGAGUAAUAGGAAACUUAUUCAGGGUGUGACUGCUCAUGGCCAUGGGUGAUGAAAUGUUCUGAAACUGGAUUGUGGUGAUGGUUGCACAACUCAGUGAAUAUCCCUAAAACCACUGGAGUGCACACUCUAAGUGUGUCAAUUUUAUACUGUGUGAAUUAUAUCUCAAUAAGACUGUUAAAAAAUCUUUGUGACCUUGGGUUAAGCAAAGAUUUCUUAGAUACAACACCAAGGUAUGAUACAUAAAAAGUGAUAUAUUGGAGACUCCAUAAAAAUUUACAACCCUUGCUCUUGAAAGACACUAUUAAGAAAAUAAGAACCACAGAUUGGGAAAAAUAUUUGCAAAACACAUGUUUGAUACAAGACCUAUCAGGCUAUAUGAAGAGUCCUCAAACUCAAUAAGAAGAAAACAAACAAAUAAAAAAUGAAGAUUUGAACAGACUCUAUCUCAAAGCAGAUAUAUUGAUGGCAAAUAGGUACAACAAAAGAUACUCAGUAUCAUUAGUUAUUAGAGAAAUGCAAAAUAAAACCACAACAAAUACUACUACAUGCUAUUAGAAUGGGGCGCGGGGAGAACAACACUUGAUUAUAUCAUAAUGCUAUGAAGGAUAGGGGAGCAACUGGAAGAUCACCGGUAGAAAUGCAGAAUGGUGCAGCCACAUUGGGAAACAAUUAGUUUUUUUAAAAAUUAAAUACAAUCUUACAAUAGAACCCAGGAAUCCUGCUCUAGGUAUUUGCCCAAUUGAAACAUAAGCCCUAUUUCACAAAACCCUGUGUGUAAAUAUUUGUAGUAGUUUUAUUUGGAAUAAUCCCAAACUGGAAACCAAAUCUUAUUAUCCCUGAACUGGGAGGGAUAUGCAUAAGCAAUUAUGAUACAUCCAUACAGUAGGAUCCUGCUUUGCAAUAAAAAGAAACAAAGUAUUGAUAUGUUCAACAACACACAACAUCUCAAGUGCCUUAUACGAAGUGAAAGAAGCCAACUAAUAGGCUACACAUUGGAGGAAAAGAAACCCUCCAACUCUGUUGGUGGGAAUGUAAGUUGGUGCAGCCACAAUGGAAAAUGGUAUGGAAGUUCCUCAGAAAACUAAAUAUAGAGUUGUUAUAUGAUCCAGCAAUGCCACUCCUAGGCAUAUAUGUGGACAAAGCUGUAAUUCAAAAAGAUACACGCACUCCUAUGUUCAUGAGCAUCCCUAUUCACAAUAGCCAAGACAUGGAAGCAACCUAAAUGUCAAUUAUCAGAUGAAUGGAUAAAGGAGAUGAGAUACAUAUAUAAAUAGAAUACUACUCAAUUUAAAAAGAAUGAAAUAACGCCAUUUUCAGGAACACAGAUGGAACCAGAGAUUAUUAUGCUAAGUGAAAUCAAUCAGAAAGAGAAAGAUGAAUACCAUGCGAUAUCAUUUGUAUGUGGAAUCUACAAUAUGACAGAAAUUAACUUAUCAACAAAAUAGAAACAGAUUCACAGACAUGGAGAAUAGACUUGUGGUUGCCAAGGGAGAGAGGCUGGGGGAGGGAAGGGAUUUGGAGUUUGGGAUUAGCUGAUGCUAACUGUUGGCUUCCUGGGUGGUGCAGUGAUAAAGAAGCCACCUGCCAAUGCAGGAGAUGCAGAGGACACAGAUUUGAUCUCUGAGUUGGGAAGAUCCCUUAGAGUAGGAAAUGGCAACCCACUCCAGUAUUCUUGCCUGGAAAAUUCUAUGGACAGAGGAGCCCAGUGGGCUAUGGUCCGUGGGGUCACAGAGAGUUGGACACGACGGAGCACGAAGCAAACUAAUAUGUAUUGAGUGGAUGAACCACAAGGCCUUCGUGUAUAGCACAGGAAACUAUAUUCAGUAUCCUGUGAUAAACCAUAAUGGGAAAGAAUGUAAAAAAGAAUGUAUGUACGUAUAACCAAAUCACUUUGCUCUAUA